rnacentral:misc_RNA from 1 species
UUUCCGUAGGUGAACCUGCGGAAGGAUCAUUAAAAAUUGGACUCCAUUGGUGAGUUCAUUAAUAAUCCCUACCCUUUGUGAAUUUGUUUGUUUGAAUAAUUUUUUUUCCAAAAAAAAAUUAUUGAAUGUCUUUCCCUGUUUUGGUGGAGCUUGUAAAGUGAAACCAGGCAGGGGAAUGGCAAACAAUAAUUAUUUUUUGAAAAAAGACCUUUUUUAAAAUUAAACUUUUUGUAUUCAUUUGUCUAAAAUUAUUUUUAUAAUAUAGAAACAACUUUUGACAAUGGAUCUCUUGGUUCUCGCAACGAUGAAGAACGCAGCAAAAUGCGAUAAGUAGUGUGAAUUGCAGAAUACGUGAAUCAUCGAGUCUUCGAACGCAUAUUGCACUUUUUUAGUUUACUAAAAAAGUAUGUCUGUUUGAGUAUCAGUAAAAUAUUCUCAUAAAAAACAUUGUUUUUUUAUGGUUAUGAGUGUUUUACAACGAUAACAAGUUGUUUCACUUUAAAUUCUUUGUUAUCAAAAAAAUCAUUAAAAGCUAAUUUUAAAGAUUUUUUAAAGUUGGAUAAAAUUUUCCCGUAAAAAGGAAUAACCUAAACAAUUUUAAAAAAUUAAAAUUGGUUUGAUUUUUUUUGAAACCCAAAGGAAAAAAAAACGAAAUUAACUUGAUCUCAAAUCAGAUAAGAGUACCCGCUGAACUUAAGCAUAUCAAUAAGCGGAGGAAAAGAAACUAACUAGGAUUCCCUCAGUAACGGCGAGUGAAGCGGGAAGAGCUCAAAUUUGAAAUCUUCAAGGUUUUACCUUGACGAAUUGUAGUUUAAAGAAGUGUUUUCUGUUGGAGUUUUGGUAAAAGUUCUUUGGAAAAGGACAUCAUAGAGGGUGAGAAUCCCGUAUUUGACCAUUAUCUCCAGCUUUGUGAUACACUUUCAAAGAGUCGGAUUGUUUGGGAAUGCAGUCCAUAAUGGGUGGUAAAUUUCAUCUAAAGCUAAAUACUGGCGAGAGACCGAUAGCGAACAAGUACCGUGAGGGAAAGAUGAAAAGAGCUUUGAAAAGAGAGUUAAACAGUACGUGAAAUUGUCAAAAGGGAAGCGUUUGACACCAGUGUUGUUUUCUCGAAAAUCAAUUAAAAAAGGCCGGAUUUUGUGUUGUAUUGACUUUAUCAGCUUUCUGCACUUUUUUCUUGUCUUUUUUAAUGCACUUUUCGUUUAACAAGUCAACAUCAAUUUCUUUUGUUGUAAAAGGGUCAUUGGAAGGUGGCUUUCUUUUCGGAGAAAGUGUUUAUAGCCUUUGGCCUCUGCAAUCGGAGAGAUUGAGGUCUGCAGCGUAGAUCCUUCGGGGUUAGAUACAUUUGUGCUAAGUUAUAGCCUUUCAUAGACAACUUGUUGACUAUGAUCAGUCAUGUAGCUUACUCGCUUAUGCUAUUU